UAGGGAAUCUUCCACAAUGGACGCAAGUCUGAUGGAGCAACGGCCGCGUGAGUGAAGAAGGUUUUCGGACCGUAAAGCUCUGUUGUUGGUGAAGAAGGAUAGAGGUAGUAACUGGCCUUUAUUUGACGGUAAUCAACCAGAAAGUCACGGCUAACUACGUGCCAACAGCCGCGGUAAUACGUAGGUGGCAAGCGUUGUCCGGAUUUAUUGGGCGUAAAGCGAGCGCAGGCGGAAGAAUAAGUCUGAUGUGAAAGCCCUCGGCUUAACCGAGGAAUUGCAUCGGAAACUGUUUUCUUGAGUGCAGAAGAGGAGAGUAGAACUCCAUGUGUAGCGGUGGAAUGCGUAGAUAUAUGGAAGAAUACCAGUGGCGAAGGCGGCUCUCUGGUCUGCAACUGACGCUGAGGCUCGAAAGCAUGGGUAGCGAACAGGAUUAGAUACCCUGGUAGUCCAUGCCGUAAACGAUGAGUGCUAAGUGUUGGGAGGCUUCCGCCUCUCAGUGCUGCAGCUAACGCAUUAAGCACUCCGCCUGGGGGAGUACGACCGCAAGGUUGAAAC
rnacentral:rRNA from 1 species